rnacentral:Y_RNA from 1 species
AGGGCGAAUGCAGAUGGAACUACAUCCAACGCAACGGUUGCGGGUUCAACUCCCGCCGGAAUCUAACCAGGUUCCGUAGCUCAACUGGAUAGAGCAUUGUGACUGUUUCAUCGCUCACUUGUCGCCCGACC